AUCCAUGAUGGCCGAGAUACAGGCAUCGAGCUUUUAACUCGAUCACAGUCACCGAACUUCAGGAUA
rnacentral:tRNA from 1 species